UGCCUAACACAUGCAAGUCGAACGAGACCUUCGGGUCUAGUGGCGCACGGGUGCGUAACGCGUGGGAAUCUGCCCUUGGGUACGGAAUAACAGCGAGAAAUUGCUGCUAAUACCGUAUAAUGACGUAAGUCCAAAGAUUUAUCGCCCAGGGAUGAGCCCGCGUAGGAUUAGCUUGUUGGUGAGGUAAAAGCUCACCAAGGCGACGAUCCUUAGCUGGUCUGAGAGGAUGAUCAGCCACACUGGGACUGAGACACGGCCCAGACUCCUACGGGAGGCAGCACUGGGGAAUAUUGGACAAUGGGCGAAAGCCUGAUCCAGCAAUGCCGCGUGAGUGAUGAAGGCCUUAGGGUUGUAAAGCUCUUUUGCCCGGGAUGAUAAUGACAGUACCGGGAGAAUAAGCUCCGGCU
rnacentral:rRNA from 1 species